rnacentral:rRNA from 1 species
GUGGGGAAUUUUGGACAAUGGGCGCAAGCCUGAUCCAGCAAUGCCGCGUGCAGGAAGAAGGCCUUCGGGUUGUAAACUGCUUUUGUACGGAACGAAACGGUCCUGGCUAAUAUCCGGGGCUAAUGACGGUACCGUAAGAAUAAGCACCGGCUAACUACGUGCCAGCAGCCGCGGUAAUACGUAGGGUGCAAGCGUUAAUCGGAAUUACUGGGCGUAAAGCGUUCGCAGGCGGUUUUGUAAGACAGGCGUGAAAUCCCCGGGCUAAACCUGGGAAUUGCGCUUGUGACUGCAAGGCUGGAGUGCGGCAGAGGGGGAUGGAAUUCCGCGUGUAGCAGUGAAAUGCGUAGAUAUGCGGAGGAACACCGAUGGCGAAGGCAAUCCCCUGGGCCUGCACUGACGCUCAUGCACGAAAGCGUGGGGAGCAAACAGGAUUAGAAACCCGAGUAGUCC